CACAGCAGCCAAGAAGAGUGCCUGACGAGCCCAGCUGCCUGCCUCUGUGCCGACACGUGAGAUGCACCACAUUGUGGAGGAUGUCAUCAAAUUGGUGGAGCUCACAGUCAAAGAUUGUUACGUCCCCCCCACCAUGGUGGAGGCAAAGGUAGGAAGGAGACAGCAACACCGGACAACCACAAUCAAUGAAGGAGAAGGAC